AUUGGAGAGUUUGAUCCUGGCUCAGGAUGAACGCUGGCGGCGUGCCUAAUACAUGCAAGUCGAGCGAAUGGAUUAAGAGCUUGCUCUUAUGAAGUUAGCGGCGGACGGGUGAGUAACACGUGGGUAACCUGCCCAUCAGAAGGGGAUAACACUUGGAAACAGGUGCUAAUACCGUAUAACAUUUUGAACCGCAUGGUUCGAAAUUGAAAGGCGGCUUCGGCUGUCACUUAUGGAUGGACCCGCGGUGCAUUAGCUAGUUGGUGAGGUAACGGCUCACCAAGGCCACGAUGCAUAGCCGACCUGAGAGGGUGAUCGGCCACAUUGGGACUGAGACACGGCCCAAACUCCUACGGGAGGCAGCAGUAGGGAAUCUUCGGCAAUGGACGAAAGUCUGACCGAGCAACGCCGCGUGAGUGAUGAAGGCUUUCGGGUCGUAAAACUCUGUUGUUAGGGAAGAACAAGUGCUAGUUGAAUAAGCUGGCACCUUGACGGUACCUAACCAGAAAGCCACGGCUAACUACGUGCCAGCAGCCGCGGUAAUACGUAGGUGGCAAGCGUUGUCCGGAUUUAUUGGGCGUAAAGCGAGCGCAGGCGGUUUCUUAAGUCUGAUGUGAAAGCCCCCGGCUCAACCGGGGAGGGUCAUUGGAAACUGGGAGACUUGAGUGCAGAAGAGGAAAGUGGAAUUCCAUGUGUAGCGGUGAAAUGCGUAGAGAUAUGGAGGAACACCAGUGGCGAAGGCGACUUUCUGGUCUGUAACUGACGCUGAGGCUCGAAAGCGUGGGGAGCAAACAGGAUUAGAUACCCUGGUAGUCCACGCCGUAAACGAUGAGUGCUAAGUGUUGGAGGGUUUCCGCCCUUCAGUGCUGCAGCUAACGCAUUAAGCACUCCGCCUGGGGAGUACGACCGCAAGGUUGAAACUCAAAGGAAUUGACGGGGGCCCGCACAAGCGGUGGAGCAUGUGGUUUAAUUCGAAGCAACGCGAAGAACCUUACCAGGUCUUGACAUCCUUUGACCACUCUAGAGAUAGAGCUUCCCCUUCGGGGGCAAAGUGACAGGUGGUGCAUGGUUGUCGUCAGCUCGUGUCGUGAGAUGUUGGGUUAAGUCCCGCAACGAGCGCAACCCUUGAUCUUAGUUGCCAUCAUUAAGUUGGGCACUCUAAGGUGACUGCCGGUGACAAACCGGAGGAAGGUGGGGAUGACGUCAAAUCAUCAUGCCCCUUAUGACCUGGGCUACACACGUGCUACAAUGGACGGUACAAAGAGCUGCAAGACCGCGAGGUGGAGCUAAUCUCAUAAAACCGUUCUCAGUUCGGAUUGUAGGCUGCAACUCGCCUACAUGAAGCUGGAAUCGCUAGUAAUCGCGGAUCAGCACGCCGCGGUGAAUACGUUCCCGGGCCUUGUACACACCGCCCGUCACACCACGAGAGUUUGUAACACCCGAAGUCGGUGAGGUAACCUUUUUGGAGCCAGCCGCCUAAGGUGGGAUAGAUGAUUGGGGUGAAGUCGUACGGGAACCCCCAAAGAA
rnacentral:rRNA from 1 species